rnacentral:rRNA from 1 species
AGAGUUUGAUCCUGGCUCAGAUUGAACGCUGGCGGCAUGCCUAACACAUGCAAGUCGCACGCGAAAGGGGGCAACCCCGAGUAGAGUGGCGGACGGGUGCGUAAUACGCAGGAAUCUACCCACGAGUGGGGGACAACCCGGGGAAACCCGGGCUAAUACCGCAUGAGACCUACGGGUGAAAGCGGGGGAUCGCAAGACCUCGCGCUGGUGGAUGAGCCUGCGUCCGAUUAGCUAGUUGGUAGGGUAAAGGCCUACCAAGGCAACGAUCGGUAGCUGGUCUGAGAGGACGACCAGCCACACUGGGACUGAGACACGGCCCAGACUCCUACGGGAGGCAGCAGUGGGGAAUAUUGGACAAUGGGGGCAACCCUGAUCCAGCAAUGCCGCGUGUGUGAAGAAGGCCUUCGGGUUGUAAAGCACUUUCGAUGGGGACAAACGUGUCGGGCUUAAUACGUCCGGCCUUGAUGGUACCCAGAGAAGAAGCACCGGCUAACUCUGUGCCAGCAGCCGCGGUAAUACAGAGGGUGCAAGCGUUAAUCGGAAUUACUGGGCGUAAAGCGUGCGUAGGUGGUUGGAUAAGUCAGGUGUGAAAUCCCCGAGCUUAACUUGGGAAUUGCGCUUGAUACUGUCCGGCUAGAGUGUGGUAGAGGGUAGUGGAAUUCCGCAUGUAGCGGUGAAAUGCGUAGAUAUGCGGAGGAACAUCAGUGGCGAAGGCGGCUACCUGGACCAACACUGACACUGAGGCACGAAAGCGUGGGUAGCAAACAGGAUUAGAUACCCUGGUAGUCG